UACGUAGGUCCCGAGCGUUGUCCGGAUUUAUUGGGCGUAAAGCGAGCGCAGGUGGUUUAUUAAGUCUGGUGUAAAAGGCAGUGGCUCAACCAUUGUAUGCAUUGGAAACUGGUAGACUUGAGUGCAGGAGAGGAGAGUGGAAUUCCAUGUGUAGCGGUGAAAUGCGUAGAUAUAUGGAGGAACACCGGUGGCGAAAGCGGCUCUCUGGCCUGUAACUGACACUGAGGCUCGAAAGCGUGGGGAGCAAACA
rnacentral:rRNA from 2 species